CUCAUGGGCGCCCAUGAGAAUCAAUAUGGUGUCUCGUGGUGCCCCAUGGGACACCAUGGGGUCUCAUGACAUACAAUGAGACUUACCCCAUGACACACCAUAGGGUGCCAUGGGAUACCAUGAGAUGGCUGUCUCAUAAUACUCCAGGGGGUGCCAUGGGAGGACAUGAGACACCAUUACAUUCUCAUGGGCGCCCAUGGG
rnacentral:pre_miRNA from 1 species